UAGCACCUCAGCCCGGCUCUGCUGUCCAAAGGUCGACCCUAAGCUUGCGCCCCUGAAUAUUCCCAUUCCAGGGUGGUUUAUAAGCAAUAUCCUCAGAAGUCUGAGCCAGGUUUCUCUACCAGAGGUAAGCCUUGGAUUCUUGAAACACAAUCAGCUGAAAUCCUGUGUGUGAGGGAGGAAAAGCUGUAUGAAGGAGAUACAUUCAUAAAACAUCUAUCUAUCUAUCUAUCUAUCUAUCUAUCUAUCUAUCUAUCUAUCUAUCUAUAUGCAUAUAUAUGUAAUGGAACUUGCAAGGCACUUAUUUUGAAUUCAGAGAGAAGCUGCAUGUAUUCAGUGCUGCGUGUAAUAAAAUUGUCUUUCCAUA